UUGACCUCGGGACGCAUCAGUGAGGAAUAUUGGUCAAUGGACGAGAGUCUGAACCAGCCAAGUAGCGUGAAGGAUGACUGCCCUAUGGGUUGUAAACUUCUUUUAUAUGGGAAUAAAAUGUUCCACGUGUGGGAUUUUGUAUGUACCAUAUGAAUAAGGAUCGGCUAACUCCGUGCCAGCAGCCGCGGUAAUGCGGAGGAUCCGAGCGUUAUCCGGAUUUAUUGGGUUUAAAGGGAGCGUAGGUGGAUUGUUAAGUCAGUUGUGAAAGUUUGCGGCUCAACCGUAAAAUUGCAGUUGAAACUGGC
rnacentral:rRNA from 1 species